UGUCCCUGUGCUUGAUAGUAGGGCAUCUGGUCAGUGGUACUCAUCUUCUAGCCAGGGACAGAGCAAAUCCUUGUUUAUCCCUGACUGGCUUUUGGUCUUGUCUGGUUCAUGUCGUGGACAUAGAC
rnacentral:snoRNA from 1 species